rnacentral:rRNA from 1 species
UACAGAGGCCUCGAGCGUUAAUCGGAGUUACUGGGCUUAAAGGGUGCGUAGGUGGGUCCGCAAGUGUCUUGUGAAAGCCCACGGCUCAACCGUGGAAGAGCUUGAUAGACUGCGGGUCUUGAGGUCGGUAGGGGUCGCUGGAACUCUAGGUGGAGCGGUGAAAUGCGUAGAUAUCUAGAGGAACGCCCAAGGCGAAGGCAGGCGACUGGGCCGAAUCUGACACUGAGGCACGAAAGCAUGGGUAGCGAACGGG